rnacentral:misc_RNA from 1 species
UCUAAAUGCUUCAUUGAUUGUCUUCGCCUUGUUCAUUCUGUUUGUUUCCCACAAUGACCAUGCAUUGAGAUUUUCCCUGUCUGGUUUUCUCGGGAAUCAAACAGAAGACAGACGUUUUUCUCUUCUAUUUAUUAGGGUUUUUGUUGUUAUAAGAUGACAUAUUACGGUGACGACACAGUGGUGCCACAGCUCGGGAUGAGAGUGGAGGCUCAUAGUGAUGAUGGAGGUGACAGCAAAGGGGAG